AAGUCUCCCGUUUAGUAACUUAAGUAGUCUUUAUUGAAACCAAUAGCCUCGAUCAGGGUUCACUCCACCUUUUUUCUGCCACCUCCCCUUCUUCUUCUACUACCUUUCUUCCGUUCCCAACAUCCCUCUCUCUCUCUCUCUCUCCCCCCAAAUCUCCCCCAAAUUUUCAAUCUUUGGCCCUAAAGCUUUGACCUGUCUUGAAUCAACCAUGGAUCUGGCCCCGGAAGAACUCUAAUUUCUCUAAUCCGAGACAUUCUUCGAGAAUCGACCUCCACCCCCAAACAGUCACCCAAGACCUUCUACCUCAUAAGCCUAACCCUAAUUUCCCUCUCUCCUUCGCAAUCCUAGCCCACUCUCUCUGAAGGUAGUGUUCAGUUGGAGGGUUUUUCCCGGGAGGUUUAGCAAUGGUGUAUUUGAUAUCAUCAAUCUGCAAUCUAGGGUUUCUCGACACACUCAGCGAAACCUCCCUCCCAUCCUCUGCACUGCCACUGAAACCCUCUCGGUGGGCCCGCAACCUUCAUCACCUGGUAGCUAAUGGCGAUGAUGAGUCGGACUCUUCGUUCCAAGACGCUUCUUUUGCUCUUCCGCAGCCCCAAAGGUAUUCUUUGUAUCUAUCUUACUUCUACACUCUAUGCUGUAAGCACAGUAAAAUUGCUAUGUGUGUAGUGAACCCAUGUGAACUCUGGGCAGUUCCACCGCAAGCCCUUUUCUCCACACACAUUGUUGGUGAAAAACCAGUUCUUGUUCGUGAUUUCAUUCAUUCUGCACUAUAUGACCCUAGACAUGGUUAUUGCGCUCAAAGAUCGAGGUCAGUUGGAGUGCUUCAGAAAGCCACUAAGUUCAAUCAUUGAGGGUCUUUGAUUUGAGGAGUUGGACUGCAGCUAUCAACAAUGUCGAAUUCACGAAAUCAUGUAAGACCCAAGGCUUUGCAUCCCAGUACAAGCAUACCAGCAAUGAGGAGUCAUACCAAUAUAUUGUAAGAUCAGAACCUAUGCAAAGAUUCUGGUGCAGGUUAUGAUGAAAAAUUGGUUGAAAUGAUAAAUAGUGCCAUAGUGGAUAGAAGUCCUUUAGUUAAAUGGGAAGAUGUUGGCGAGAAGAUUAUAGCAUACCUUGAUUUCUUGUGUGAAAUCCUGAAACAAAUUUUUUUUCUUUUUCUUUUUUCUUAAUUUACCUAAAGUUGUUUUUAGGAUGAGUUCUUUUACCAUGUUCUUUUACCUAAGGUUAUUUUUUUGUUAUUGAUAAAGCUAGUUAGUUUUUAGAUUAAGUUUAUUUUUGUUUAUUAAGCAUCAGUGGAUGCUAGCUUCACGUGUUUGACACCUAGAAGCCACCUAGCUCAAGGUCUUAUCUCUUUCACCGUUUGACUUUCACCUUUUCUUCUUUUUUUCUGUUUUUCUUCCCCAUUGAGAUACUUAUUUGGGAUGAGUACCUCUUAGUUCUGUUUUUCUUUUUUUGAGACUGCGGAUUGAAGAGAAAACAAGGAGAAGAACUAAACUUCUUUCCGAUUUGGGUUUUAAGAAGCUCGGUUAUUAAGUUGAGGUAGGUAGGGCUUGAAAGGAGUUCUGUUGGGCAUUGGUGGCUGGAUAAUAUAGGAAAGGCUUUUCAAGAAGGAAAGCUUAUGAAUGUAUGGGUUCUAGGCAGCUAGCAGGCUUGUUCAUAUCUCUUUGGCUCUAUGAGAAUCAGAGUCUAUGAUCAGAUAAUGUGCUCUGUGAACUGUCACUUGGCUACACAUUUGGAAGCUGUCAAUCAACGCAAUGCUGAUUUGAUCACAUGUAUCGAAAUAUGGUCUUCAAUUGGUCAUCUCUACUUAACACAAGAGCUGGCCUCAUACUAGCAGUCUCGUGAAUGCCUUUAGAAGGAACUUGAAGGAUGCUGGUUUGAUCAUAUCCCAGAGGUCAUGAGAAAUGAAUGGGCAGGCUGUAAAGCAGGCGUAUGUUAAGAACUCCUUGUUUCCACACUCUCUUUCUUCUUGUCUCAAAAAGCAGCAAAGGCAACUGUCCUUGGCAUCCAAGUUGGGUGUGGAUUCAGGCCUAAGAUUCCAUGUAGGAGAUUAAUCUAGAGCUAAUGCUGCACAAGAUAAUGAACUUUUCCAUCAGAAUCCUCAAGCAUAUGCUACACAAGAUGGAAAUUGGAUUGCUCGUAUUGCAGCAUUGCUUGUGGGUGAGGAUCGAACACAAUCUUGUAUAGCUUAUGAAAUUAGAAGGCUUAGUUCAAUAAAAUGUUUAAAUGCUUAUAAAAUUGUAUAUAGUGAAUCGAUUGGAGUUUGUUUUGAUGUAUCAAAGUUACUUUUAGCAUUAAUAUAAAA